UCUGUGUGCUCAGUGGUGCACAUGCAUGUCUGCAUGGUGGAUGCGGACAGGAACACGCCUUAGGGGGCACUGUGUGAGUGCAUCCUGCGCAGUCAUGCUCCUGCAGCCACUGGAGCGUGAACUCCCACUUCAACCCAGGGCUGACAGGGCCACAUUUGCAAAAUGCUCAGCGGCCAGUGACAGAGCUGGCUGGAGCGUGCGGGCUGGCAGGAGCCACGUGAGGUCACGUCAGUAUACACCAGAGAUUCAGAGCAGUGUUGGAUGGUGGUGGACCGGCCUAUUCCACCCCUACCUUCCUUGCUCCCCUGCCCAGCCCACUUUCUGGAAUGUUACCACCUCUCCUCAGCUGCUUCUCCAUCCUCUCUAUGUGUACUUCCUGUGCAGAGAGCUAUGGUUGGGUGGACCUGGGUGUUUGUAACAGUCUCAGGCCCACAUGGUCUCCAUGCUUCCCCUUCCUUCCCCUUCCUUCCCCUUCCUUCUCCUUCCUUUCCCCUCCCUCCCUCCCUCCCUCCCUCCCUCCGUUCCUUC
rnacentral:lncRNA from 1 species